AUACUUACCUGGCAGGGGAGAUACCAUGAUCACGAAGGUGGUUUUCCCAGGGCGAGGCUUAUCCAUUGCACUCCGGAUGUGCUGACCCCUGCGACUUCCCCAAAUGUGGGAAACUCGACUGCAUAAUUUGUGGUAGUGGGGGACUGCGUUCGCGCUUUCCCCUG
rnacentral:snRNA from 1 species